GGGGACGCGAGCAUGGCCAGGAGCUAGCAGACAGAGGAGGCAGGAAUGUGUUCUUAUGCAAUUCUCCAGACGGAGCGCGAGCGACGCGUUUCCUCCGCUGGGCGGAUCAGCCAAUGACCGCGCGCGCUGCGCCUCCCUUUCUCUCCGCGCGUCUCUCACUAAAAACCGCUGGAGUCUCGCAGAGGAAGCGCGAGCGCGGCCAGGAUGAGGAUCGCGAUGAGGAGGAGGAUGAUGAUGAUGGAUGCUGUAGCGUGCCGUCUGCUGUUUCUAGCGCUGCUCUUCGGAGCCAGGAUCCAGAACACGGAAGUUUGGGAGAGUCUUUCAAGCUUAAUCGAGCGAGAUCUGUUGUUAGGAAUGCUAACCCACCCACCCAACCACUUUACCAAUUUACAUCAAGAUGAAGAUUAAUUAGCUCGGCUCUGAAAACUCGACACGCUCUUCAGUCGAUCCCCUGUCUGCCGUUCAGAGAGCUGAAGGGACGGUGAACAAACAGCACUCCGAUUCAGACUCUCGGCUGCGUGCUUGGAUUACAAGCCUCGGAUGAAUUGCCUCGGCGGCUGAGAGCAUGCAGGAGCUUUCUGCCGAAAAGACACUGAACAGCACUUGGCUUUCAAUGCCAGAUCAUUCAGUUACUGCAGUAGAGGUUCAAGCCAGAGGCUCCAAAGAUGUGAAAUCCAAUUGCAAUUGAUUCCCAAAAUCAGUACUCAUUGUCUAGAAGGUUUUUUUUUUUCUUUGUGUUUGGCAUUAGAUGAAACUGCUUCCAUUCUUUUGAUUUCUGAGACUGAAAUCCUGCAGACAUUCCGUCCAUUUAUAAAUGUCUUAGAUGCUCCUAAUCAGAUUGAAUUGGGUUCAUUGAAAGCAUUAUCUGAGUCUCUGAUUUACAUUGUGUAAUAGUCAUGAUGGAAGUGUUGGAUCAUUGUGAUCAUGAUGUGUCAGUAUGACUGUGUUCAGCUACAGUCCAGCGCUGCAACCUUCAUUGCUCUAAAUAUAAUGCUAUAAUCAAUGCUUUUCACCAUCAGUUCCUCUUAGUUACAGUAAAACGCAGUAAAGGUUUUUGAGAGAGUUCCACAAGUAAUGCUCAUUUCAUAUGCAAAGCUGUUAGCCAAUCACAAGAGUGUGCUAACACAGUAGACACGCCCCUUCCAACAGAGCACUCAAAUCAGGUGAGAAAGUGACCAUUAAUAUCUAAAUUAUGAUGAAAAAACCAUGCUAAGCUUAUAAGUGCACCUCAGGAAACAUUAUAAAAUAUUAAUUAAAAAAUGACCCCUUUAUAUAUUUCAGGAAUUUCAUGAAGUCCUCUGAUAGGAAAAGAUAUGAAGAUGACUAAUAAAUGGCCCGAAUACUUUACCCCA
ensembl:lncRNA